GCCUCCGUGGCCCAGUGGUUUGAGUGUUGGGCUCCCAAUCCGGAGGUUCCGGGUUCAAAUCCUGGUGGGGGCA